rnacentral:rRNA from 1 species
UCCAGACUUUGAUCAUGGCUCAGGAUGAACGCUAGCGGCAGGCUUAACACAUGCAAGUCGAGGGGCAGCAUAAUGGAUAGCAAUAUCUAUGGUGGCGACCGGCGCACGGGUGCGUAACGCGUAUGCAACCUACCUUUAACAGGGGGAUAACACUGAGAAAUUGGUACUAAUACCCCAUAAUAUCAUAGAAGGCAUCUUUUAUGGUUGAAAAUUCCGAUGGUUAGAGAUGGGCAUGCGUUGUAUUAGCUAGUUGGUGGGGUAACGGCUCACCAAGGCGACGAUACAUAGGGGGACUGAGAGGUUAACCCCCCACACUGGUACUGAGACACGGACCAGACUCCUACGGGAGGCAGCAGUGAGGAAUAUUGGUCAAUGGACGCAAGUCUGAACCAGCCAUGCCGCGUGCAGGAUGACGGCUCUAUGAGUUGUAAACUGCUUUUGUACGAGGGUAAACGCAGA